CCCAGGUCAGGCGUGGCCA
rnacentral:rRNA from 1 species